rnacentral:rRNA from 1 species
UCCCCUAGUAACUGCGAGUGAAGCGGGAAGAGCUCAAAUUUUGAAUCUGGCGGUCUUUGACUGUCCGAGUUGUAAUCUAGAGAAGCGUCUUCCGCGCUGGGCCGUGUACAAGUCUCCUGGAAGGGAGCGUCAUAGAGGGUGAGAAUCCCGUCUUUGACACGGACUACCAGUGCUAUGUGAUGCGCUCUCGACGAGUCGAGUUGUUUGGGAAUGCAGCUCAAAAUGGGUGGUAAAUUCCAUCUAAAGCUAAAUACAGGCGAGAGACCGAUAGCGAACAAGUACCGUGAGGGAAAGAUGAAAAGAACUUUGGAAAGAGAGUUAAACAGUACGUGAAAUUGCUGAAAGGGAAACGCUUGAUGUCAGUCGCGUCGGCCAGGGAUCAACCUUGCUUCUCGCUGGGUGCACUUCCUGCUCGACGGGUCAGCAUCAGUUUCCGUCGCCGUACAAUGGUGCGAGGAAUGUGGCACUCUUCGGAGUGUGUUAUAGCCUUUCGUCGUAUGCGGUGGUAGGGACUGAGGAACUCAGCACGGCUUCACAGCUUGUGUUUAGGAUGCUGGCAUAAUGGCCUUAAGCGACCCGUCUUGAAACACGGACCAAGGAGUC